AAUCAUGGCUCAGGAUGAACGCUAGCUACAGGCUUAACACAUGCAAGUCGAGGGGCAGCAUGUCGGUUGCUUGCAACCGAUGAUGGCGACCGGCGCACGGGUGAGUAACGCGUAUCCAACCUACCCUUGUCCAUCGGAUAACCCGUCGAAAGGCGGCCUAACACGAUAUGCGGUUCUCAGCAGGCAUCUAACGAGAACGAAAUGUGAAGGAGAAGGAUGGGGAUGCGU
rnacentral:rRNA from 1 species